rnacentral:rRNA from 1 species
GGUUAAGCGACUAAGCGUACACGGUGGAUGCCCUGGCAGUCAGAGGCGAUGAAGGACGUGCUAAUCUGCGAUAAGCGCCGGUAAGGUGAUAUGAACCGUUAUAACCGGCGAUUUCCGAAUGGGGAAACCCAGUGUGAUUCGUCACACUAUCAUUAACUGAAUCCAUAGGUUAAUGAGGCGAACCGGGGGAACUGAAACAUCUAAGUACCCCGAGGAAAAGAAAUCAACCGAGAUUCCCCCAGUAGCGGCGAGCGAACGGGGAGGAGCCCAGAGCCUGAAUCAGCAUGUGUGUUAGUGGAAGCGUCUGGAAAGGCGCGCGAUACAGGGUGACAGCCCCGUACACAAAAGCGCAUGUGCUGUGAGCUCGAUGAGUAGGGCGGGACACGUGGUAUCCUGUCUGAAUAUGGGGGGACCAUCCUCCAAGGCUAAAUACUCCUGACUGACCGAUAGUGAACCAGUACCGUGAGGGAAAGGCGAAAAGAACCCCGGCGAGGGGAGUGAAAAAGAACCUGAAACCGUGUACGUACAAGCAGUGGGAGCACAGGUUUACCUGUGUGACUGCGUACCUUUUGUAUAAUGGGUCAGCGACUUAUAUUCUGUAGCAAGGUUAACCGUAUAGGGGAGCCGCAGGGAAACCGAGUCUUAAUUGGGCGUUAAGUUGCAGGGUAUAGACCCGAAACCCGGUGAUCUAGCCAUGGGCAGGUUGAAGGUUGGGUAACACUAACUGGAGGACCGAACCGACUAAUGUUGAAAAAUUAGCGGAUGACCUGUGGCUGGGGGUGAAAGGCCAAUCAAACCGGGAGAUAGCUGGUUCUCCCCGAAAGCUAUUUAGGUAGCGCCUCGUGAAUUCAUCUCCGGGGGUAGAGCACUGUUUCGGCUAGGGGGCCAUCCCGGCUUACCAACCCGAUGCAAACUGCGAAUACCGGAGAAUGUUAUCACGGGAGACACACGGCGGGUGCUAACGUCCGUCGUGAAGAGGGAAACAACCCAGACCGCCAGCUAAGGUCCCAAAGUCAUGGUUAAGUGGGAAACGAUGUGGGAAGGCCCAGACAGCCAGGAUGUUGGCUUAGAAGCAGCCAUCAUUUAAAGAAAGCGUAAUAGCUCACUGGUCGAGUCGGCCUGCGCGGAAGAUGUAACGGGGCUAAACCAUGCACCGAAGCUGCGGCAGCGACACUGUGUGUUGUUGGGUAGGGGAGCGUUCUGUAAGCCUGUGAAGGUGGCCUGUGAGGGUUGCUGGAGGUAUCAGAAGUGCGAAUGCUGACAUAAGUAACGAUAAAGCGGGUGAAAAGCCCGCUCGCCGGAAGACCAAGGGUUCCUGUCCAACGUUAAUCGGGGCAGGGUGAGUCGACCCCUAAGGCGAGGCCGAAAGGCGUAGUCGAUGGGAAACGGGUUAAUAUUCCCGUACUUGGUGUUACUGCGAAGGGGGACGGAGAAGGCUAUGUUGGCCGGGCGACGGUUGUCCCGGUUUAAGCGUGUAGGUGUGUGUUCCAGGUAAAUCCGGUUCACUUUAACACUGAGGCGUGAUGACGAGGCACUACGGUGCUGAAGCAACAAAUGCCCUGCUUCCAGGAAAAGCCUCUAAGCAUCAGGUAACAUCAAAUCGUACCCCAAACCGACACAGGUGGUCAGGUAGAGAAUACCAAGGCGCUUGAGAGAACUCGGGUGAAGGAACUAGGCAAAAUGGUGCCGUAACUUCGGGAGAAGGCACGCUGACAUGUAGGUGAAGUGAUUUACUCAUGGAGCUGAAGUCAGUCGAAGAUACCAGCUGGCUGCAACUGUUUAUUAAAAACACAGCACUGUGCAAACACGAAAGUGGACGUAUACGGUGUGACGCCUGCCCGGUGCCGGAAGGUUAAUUGAUGGGGUCAGCGCAAGCGAAGCUCCUGAUCGAAGCCCCGGUAAACGGCGGCCGUAACUAUAACGGUCCUAAGGUAGCGAAAUUCCUUGUCGGGUAAGUUCCGACCUGCACGAAUGGCGUAAUGAUGGCCAGGCUGUCUCCACCCGAGACUCAGUGAAAUUGAACUCGCUGUGAAGAUGCAGUGUACCCGCGGCAAGACGGAAAGACCCCGUGAACCUUUACUAUAGCUUGACACUGAACAUUGAGCCUUGAUGUGUAGGAUAGGUGGGAGGCUUUGAAGCGUGGACGCCAGUCUGCGUGGAGCCGGCCUUGAAAUACCACCCUUUAAUGUUUGAUGUUCUAACGUGGACCCGUGAUCCGGGUUGCGGACAGUGUCUGGUGGGUAGUUUGACUGGGGCGGUCUCCUCCUAAAGAGUAACGGAGGAGCACGAAGGUUGGCUAAUCCUGGUCGGACAUCAGGAGGUUAGUGCAAUGGCAUAAGCCAGCUUGACUGCGAGCGUGACGGCGCGAGCAGGUGCGAAAGCAGGUCAUAGUGAUCCGGUGGUUCUGAAUGGAAGGGCCAUCGCUCAACGGAUAAAAGGUACUCCGGGGAUAACAGGCUGAUACCGCCCAAGAGUUCAUAUCGACGGCGGUGUUUGGCACCUCGAUGUCGGCUCAUCACAUCCUGGGGCUGAAGUAGGUCCCAAGGGUAUGGCUGUUCGCCAUUUAAAGUGGUACGCGAGCUGGGUUUAGAACGUCGUGAGACAGUUCGGUCCCUAUCUGCCGUGGGCGCUGGAGAACUGAGGGGGGCUGCUCCUAGUACGAGAGGACCGGAGUGGACGCAUCACUGGUGUUCGGGUUGUCAUGCCAAUGGCACUGCCCGGUAGCUAAAUGCGGAAGAGAUAAGUGCUGAAAGCAUCUAAGCACGAAACUUGCCCCGAGAUGAGUUCUCCCUGAGACUUAGAGUCUCCUGAAGGAACGUUGAAGACGACGACGUUGAUAGGCCGGGUGUGUAAGCGCAGCGAUGCGUUGAGCUAACCGGUACUAAUGAACCGUGAGGCUUAACCUU